rnacentral:rRNA from 1 species
AGCGAACGCUGGCGGCAGGCCUAACACAUGCAAGUCGAACGAACCUUUCGGGGUUAGUGGCGGACGGGUGAGUAAUACGUGGGAACGUGCCUUUAGGUUCGGAAUAACUCAGGGAAACUUGUGCUAAUACCGAAUGUGCCCUUCGGGGGAAAGAUUUAUCGCCUUUAGAGCGGCCCGCGUCUGAUUAGCUAGUUGGUUGAGGUAAUGGCUCACCAAGGCGACGAUCAGUAGCUGGUCUGAGAGGAUGAUCAGCCACAUUGGGACUGAGACACGGCCCAAACUCCUACGGGAGGCAGCAGUGGGGAAUCUUGCGCAAUGGGCGAAAGCCUGACGCAGCCAUGCCGCGUGAAUGAUGAAGGUCUUAGGAUUGUAAAAUUCUUUCACCGGGGACGAUAAUGACGGUACCCGGAGAAGAAGCCCCGGCUAACUUCGUG